rnacentral:RNase_P_RNA from 1 species
GGAGUCGGCCAGGCGAUCGCUCGGGGGCAACCCCGGGAGGAAAGUCCGGGCUCCGGCGGGCAGGGUGCCAGGUAACGCCUGGGGGGCGCGAGCCCACGGAAAGUGCCACAGAAAACAAACCGCCUCGGGCCGCAAGGCCUGCGGCAAGGGUGAAAAGGUGCGGUAAGAGCGCACCGCGCGGGUGGCAACACGCCGCGGCACGGUAAACCCCACCUGGAGCAAGACCAAAUAGGGAAGCAGCCGGCCCGGCAACGGGUUGGCACCGUCGCCCCGCGGGCUUCCGGGUAGGUCGCUUGAGGCCGCUGGUGACAGCGGUCCCAGAGGGAUGAUCGCCCACGACAGAACCCGGCUUAUCGGCCGACUCCAUUU